GCUCCCGUGGCGCAAUCGGUUAGCGCGUGGUACUUAUAAGGCAAGGUUGUGAGUUCAAGCCUCACCUGGAGCA